CAGUCGAACGGAGUGAAGAUGCUCGCAUCUGAACUUAGUGGCGGACGGGUGACUAACACGUGAGCAACCUGCCUUUCAGAGGGGGAUAACGUUUGGAAACGAACGCUAAUACCGCAUAAAAUAUCGGAGUCGCAUGGCACUGAUAUCAAAGGAGCAAUCCGCUGAAAGAUGGGCUCGCGUCCGAUUAGGCAGUUGGCGGGGUAACGGCCCACCAAACCGACAAUCGGUAGCCGGACUGAGAGGUUGAACGGCCACAUUGGGACUGAGACACGGCCCAGACUCCUACGGGAGGCAGCAGUGGGGGAUAUUGCACAAUGGGGGAAACCCUGAUGCAGCGAUGCCGCGUGAAUGAAGACGGCCUUCGGGUUGUAAAGUUCUGUCGCAGGGGACGAAAAUGACGGUACCCUGCAAGAAAGCUCCGGCUAACUACGUGCCAGCAGCCGCGGUAAUACGUAGGGAGCAAGCGUUGUCCGGAAUUACUGGGUGUAAAGGGAGCGUAGGCGGGAGGAUAAGUUGAAUGUGAAAUCUAUGGGCUCAACCCAUAGCUGCGUUCAAAACUGUUCUUCUUGAGUGAAGUAGAGGCAGGCGGAAUUCCUAGUGUAGCGGUGAAAUGCGUAGAUAUUAGGAGGAACACCAGUGGCGAAGGCGGCCUGCUGGGCUUUUACUGACGCUGAGGCUCGAAAGCGUGGGUAGCAAACAGGAUUAGAUACCCUGGUAGUCCACGCGGUAAACGAUGAUUACUAGGUGUGGGUGGACUGACCCCAUCCGUGCCGGAGUUAACACAAUAAGUAAUCCACCU
rnacentral:rRNA from 1 species